GUUGAUACUGCGGUUCAGAUAUUACUCAGA
rnacentral:piRNA from 1 species